UAUAUAUAUAUACUUAUAUAUAAUUUGAAGUUUUGGAAACUUUAGCUGUGCUAUCAACUUCGGAAAAAGUAUCC